rnacentral:rRNA from 1 species
UACGUAGGGGGCAAGCGUUGUCCGGAAUCAUUGGGCGUAAAGCGCGUGUAGGCGGUUCGGUAAGUCUGCUGUGAAAGUCCAGGGCUCAACCCUGGGAUGCCGGUGGAUACUGUCGGACUAGAGUACGGAAGAGGCGAGUGGAAAUCCCGGUGUAGCGGUGAAAUGCGCAGAUAUCGGGAGGAACACCAAUUGCGAAGGCAGCUCGCUGGGACGUCACUGACGCUGAGACGCGAAAGCGUGGGGAGCAAACAGG